GGGCCUGGGCCUGGACAACAUGGCCGCCCCCAGGGUUAGAGCCGCUUGUCCUCCAGCCGCCUGGUCUCUCUUGAUGAGGAUUUAACCUCUGGUCAUUAGGUCCUGCCUGCUACCUUUGUUUCAGGUUAGCUCAAUCCCAGGCCUAACCAGCGUUUUCCUGGAGCCCACCCCAGGGCCAGGCCCUCUCAGCUAGAACAUCUCUCUCAGGUCUGUGCUAGCACAGCCCCCUGGGACGGAGGGACACUGGCAGGAUACAGGCCUUUCCACGUCUGGCCUUUUGCAGCUGCACCCCAGGAUGUAGAAGC
rnacentral:lncRNA from 1 species